GACGAACGCUGGCGGUGUGCUUAACACAUGCAGGUCGAACGGUAAGGCCCUUUCGGGGGUACACGAGUGGCGAACGGGUGAGUAACACGUGAGUAACCUGCCCUCAUCUCUGGGAUAACAGUCGGAAACGGUUGCUAAUACUGGAUAUGAGCUUGCAAGGCAUCUUGUGGGUUGGAAAGAUUUUUUUGGUUGGGGAUGGACUCGCGGCCUAUCAGCUUGUUGGUGAGGUAGUGGCUCACCAAGGCUUCGACGGGUAGCCGGCCUGAGAGGGCGACCGGCCACAUUGGGACUGAGAUACGGCCCAAACUCCUACGGGAGGCAGCAGUGGGGAAUAUUGCACAAUGGACGGAAGUCUGAUGCAGCAACGCCGCGUGCGGGAUGACGGCCUUCGGGUUGUAAACCGCUUUCAAUUGUGACGAAGCUUUUUGUGACGGUAGCAGUAGAAGAAGCACCGGCUAACUACGUG
rnacentral:rRNA from 1 species